UACGGGGGGAGCAAGCGUUGUUCGGAUUUACUGGGCGUAAAGGGCGCGUAGGCGGCCACCGCAAGUCGACUGUGAAAUCUCCGGGCUUAACCCGGAAAGGUCAGCCGAUACUGCGGGGCUAGAGUGCAGAAGGGGCAACUGGAAUUCUCGGUGUAGCGGUCAAAUGCGUAGAUAUCGGAAAGAACAUCAGUGGCGAAGGCGGCUUCCUGGAUUCAUACUGACGCUGAGGCGCGAAAGCAUGGGUAGCAAACAGG
rnacentral:rRNA from 1 species